GACGAACGCUGGCGGCGUGCCUAAUACAUGCAAGUUGAGCGCUGAAGGUUGGUACUUGUACCAACUGGAUGAGCAGCGAACGGGUGAGUAACGCGUGGGGAAUCUGCCUUUGAGCGGGGGACAACAUUUGGAAACGAAUGCUAAUACCGCAUAAAAACUUUAAACACAAGUUUUAAGUUUGAAAGAUGCAAUUGCAUCACUCAAAGAUGAUCCCGCGUUGUAUUAGCUAGUUGGUGAGGUAAAGGCUCACCAAGGCGAUGAUACAUAGCCGACCUGAGAGGGUGAUCGGCCACAUUGGGACUGGGACGCCGCCCAAACUCCUACGGGAGGCAGCAGUAGGGAAUCUUCGGCAAUGGACGAAAGUCUGACCGAGCAACGCCGCGGGAGUGAAGAAGGUUUUCGGAUCGUAAAACUCGGUUGGUAGGGAAGAACGUUGGGGAGAGUGGAAAGCGCAUCAAGUGACGGUAACUACCCAGAAAGGGACGGCUAACUACGUG
rnacentral:rRNA from 1 species